rnacentral:misc_RNA from 1 species
UAUGAAGAACGCAGCGAAAUGCGAUAAUUAAUGUGAAUUGCAGAAUUCCGUGAAUCAUCGAGUCUUUGAACGCACAUUGCGCCUCAUGGCAUUCCGUGAGGCAUGCCCAUCUCAGCGUUAGAAAAUAUUCUCAAAUUUUAGUUUUGUGCUAAAAUUUGGAUCAUGUCAAGGAAGCUAUUACUAUUAUUGUGAUCGCUCUUUGGAAAUUGAUAGGUCUUUGAGUUGCUACUCAUAGAACGUGAUGAAUCUUUCUUCGUUCUAUUGUAAUUCACUCUGGUAGUCCUAAAACUUGUAUGCCUGUGGCAUAUCUUGUAAUUUGACCUGAGAUUGGGUAGGGAUACCCGCUGAACUUAAGCAUAUCAAUAAGCGGAGGA